AGAAAAUGCCCCAAUAUCAGAAAGAACUCAGCAAGUAUUCCACUCACCUGCAGCUUGCGGAAGACUGCAUGAAGCAUUACCAGGGAACAGUGGACAAGCUGUGCCGCGUGGAACAGGACCUGGCGAUGGGCACGGAUGCAGAGGGGGAGAA